rnacentral:lncRNA from 12 species
UGUCCCCAAGGCGCCGCCCCCAAAUGUCAUCAUGUCCCUGAAAUGUCCCCAUGUCCUCAAAGUGUGUCCCCAAGGUGCCACCCAAGUGCCACCCUGUCCCCAGAAUGUCCCCAAGGUGCCAGUCCCCAAAUGUCAUCAUGUCCCUCAAGUGUCCCCGAAGUGCCACCAAGGUGCCACCCCUGCAGUGUCACCGUGUCCCCAACAUGUCCCCAGUGUCCCCAAAGUGCCACCCCUGCAGUGUCACCGUGUCUCCCAACGUGUCCCCAGUGUCCCCAAAGUGCCACCCCUGCAGUGUCACAGUGUCCUCAACGUGUCCCCAAAGUGCCACCCCUGCAGUGUCACCGUGUCCCUGCAGUGCCACCACCCCGUGUCACCGUGUCAAUAAAGUGUCCCCGAAGUGCCACCACCCUGCUGUCACCGUGUCCCCAGAGUGUCCCCAAAGUGUCCCCAAGGUGCCACCCCCAGAUGUCACCAUGUCCCUGCAGUGUCCCCAGGGUGCCACUGUGUCCCCAAAGUGUCCCCCAAGUGCCUGUCACCCUCAGGUGACCCCAAAGGUGACAGUGGAGGUGACCCAGGUGACACUGGGGACCCUCAGGUGACCCCAAAGGUGACCUCGCUGAAAUUGGGGACCCCCCAGGAGAUGACACAGGUGACCCCAAAACCCACCCAGGUGACCCUGGAACCUCUCAGGUGACCCCAAAAUGCACCCAGGUGACCCCAACCUGCCCAGGUGACAUUGGGGACCCUCAGGUGACCCCAAAAAUCUCUCUCCCCAGGUGACCCCAAAAAUCCACCCAGGUGACUCUGGAGGUGACCCAGGUGACAUUGGGGACCCUCGAGUAACUCCAGGGUGACCCCAGAUGACACAGGU